rnacentral:rRNA from 1 species
UACGUAGGUGGCAAGCGUUGUCCGGAUUUAUUGGGCUUAAAGGGUGCGUAGGCGGUCUUCUAAGUCAGUUGUGAAAUACUUCAGCUUAACUGGAGAGGUGCAAUUGAUACUGGAAGACUUGAGUACUGAUGAGGUAGGCGGAAUGGACGGUGUAGCGGUGAAAUGCUUAGAUAUCGUCCAGAACACCGAUAGCGAAGGCAGCUUACUAAGGAGUAACUGACGCUGAGGCACGAAAGUGUGGGGAUCAAACAGG